UACGGAGGGGGCUAGCGUUGUCCGAAGUUACUGGGCGUAAAGCGCGCGUAGGCGGGUUGGUAAGUCCGCUGUGAAAGCCCGGAGCUCAACUCCGGAGGGUCGGUGGAUACUGCCAGUCUUGAAGUUGCUAGGGGGAGAUGGAAUUACCGGUGUAGCGGUGAAGUGCGUAGAUAUCGGUAGGAACACCAGUGGCGAAGGCGACCACCUGGACUGAUACUGACACUGAGGUGCGAAAGCGUGGGGAGCAAACAGG
rnacentral:rRNA from 1 species